rnacentral:rRNA from 1 species
AGUUGACAGUCAUCGGCGUAAAGAGUGGUUAAGAUGUAUAAAAACUAGAGCUAAAUACCUUCAAAGCUGUUAUACGUUCUCGAAGGUAAGAAGCCCAACUACGAAAGUGGCUCUACCAUAUCUGAUUCCACGAAAGCUAGGGCACAAACUGGGAUUAGAUACCCCACUAUGCCUAGCCCUAAACAUUGACAGUUACUUACACCCACUGUCCGCCUGGGAACUACGAGCGCCAGCUUAAAACCCAAAGGACUUGGCGGUGCUUUAGACCCACCUAGAGGAGCCUGUUCUAGAACCGAUAAUCCCCGUUAAACCUCACCCUUCCUUGUCAUUUCCGCCUAUAUACCACCGUCGUCAGCUUACCCUGUGAAGGCCCAAUAGUAAGCGCAAUCGGCAAUGCCCAAAACGUCAGGUCGAGGUGUAGCGAAUGGAAGGGGAAGAAAUGGGCUACAUUUACUAACACAGUAAAUACGGAUGAUUACCCUGCAACGAGUAUCUGAAGGAGGAUUUAGCAGUAAGCAAAAAGCAGAGUGUUUUGCUGAAAUUGGCCCUGAAGCGUGCACACACCGCCCGUCACUCUCUCCGAACUAAAACUUUAAACAUAACUAAUAUGCUAUAAC